UACGAAGGGGGCGAGCGUUGUUCGGAAUUACUGAGCGUAAAGGGCGCGUAGGCGGCGACCCAAGUCAGAUGUGAAAGUCCUGGGCUUAACCUGGGGACUGCAUUUGAUACUGGUUUGCUUGAAUUCGGGAGAGGAUAGCGGAAUUCCCAGUGUAGAGGUGAAAUUCGUAGAUAUUGGGAAGAACACCGGUGGCGAAGGCGGCUAUCUGGACCGACAUUGACGCUGAGGCGCGAAAGCGUGGGGAGCAAACAGG
rnacentral:rRNA from 1 species